UGGCAGUCAGAGGCGAUGAAGGACGUGCUAAUCUGCGAUAAGCGUCGGUAAGGUGAUAUGAACCGUUAUAACCGGCGAUUUCCGAAUGGGGAAACCCAGUGUGAUUCGUCACACUAUCAUUAACUGAAUCCAUAGGUUAAUGAGGCGAACCGGGGGAACUGAAACAUCUAAGUACCCCGAGGAAAAGAAAUCAACCGAGAUUCCCCCAGUAGCGGCGAGCGAACGGGGAGCAGCCCAGAGCCUGAAUCAGUGUGUGUGUUAGUGGAAGCGUCUGGAAAGGCGUGCGAUACAGGGUGACAGCCCCGUACACAAAAAUGCACAUACUGUGAGCUCGAUGAGUAGGGCGGGACACGUGGUAUCCUGUCUGAAUAUGGGGGGACCAUCCUCCAAGGCUAAAUACUCCUGACUGACCGAUAGUGAACCAGUACCGUGAGGGAAAGGCGAAAAGAACCCCGGCGAGGGGAGUGAAAAAGAACCUGAAACCGUGUACGUACAAGCAGUGGGAGCACGCUUAGGCGUGUGACUGCGUACCUUUUGUAUAAUGGGUCAGCGACUUAUAUUCUGUAGCAAGGUUAACCGAAUAGGGGAGCCGAAGGGAAACCGAGUCUUAACUGGGCGUUAAGUUGCAGGGUAUAGACCC
rnacentral:rRNA from 1 species